rnacentral:rRNA from 1 species
GAGUUUGAUCCUGGCUCAGAUUGAACGCUGGCGGCAUGCCUUACACAUGCAAGUCGAACGGCAGCACGGGUGCUUGCACCUGGUGGCGAGUGGCGAACGGGUGAGUAAUACAUCGGAACAUGUCCUGUAGUGGGGGAUAGCCCGGCGAAAGCCGGAUUAAUACCGCAUACGAUCUACGGAUGAAAGCGGGGGACCUUCGGGCCUCGCGCUAUAGGGUUGGCCGAUGGCUGAUUAGCUAGUUGGUGGGGUAAAGGCCUACCAAGGCGACGAUCAGUAGCUGGUCUGAGAGGACGACCAGCCACACUGGGACUGAGACACGGCCCAGACUCCUACGGGAGGCAGCAGUGGGGAAUUUUGGACAAUGGGCGAAAGCCUGAUCCAGCAAUGCCGCGUGUGUGAAGAAGGCCUUCGGGUUGUAAAGCACUUUUGUCCGGAAAGAAAUCCUUGGCUCUAAUACAGUCGGGGGAUGACGGUACCGGAAGAAUAAGCACCGGCUAACUACGUGCCAGCAGCCGCGGUAAUACGUAGGGUGCGAGCGUUAAUCGGAAUUACUGGGCGUAAAGCGUGCGCAGGCGGUUUGCUAAGACCGAUGUGAAAUCCCCGGGCUCAACCUGGGAACUGCAUUGGUGACUGGCAGGCUAGAGUAUGGCAGAGGGGGGUAGAAUUCCACGUGUAGCAGUGAAAUGCGUAGAGAUGUGGAGGAAUACCGAUGGCGAAGGCAGCCCCCUGGGCCAAUACUGACGCUCAUGCACGAAAGCGUGGGAGCAAACAGGAUUAGACACCCUGGUAGUCCACGCCCCUAACGAUGUCAACUAGUUGUUGGGGAUUCAUUUCCUUAGUAACGUAGCUAACGCGUGAAGUUGACCGCCCUGGGGAGUACGGUCGCAAGAUUAAAACUCAAAGGAAUUGACGGGGACCCGCACAAGCGGUGGAUGAUGUGGAUUAAUUCGAUGCAACGCGAAAAACCUUACCUACCCUUGACAUGGUCGGAAUCCCGCUGAGAGGUGGGAGUGCUCGAAAGAGAACCGGCGCACAGGUGCUGCAUGGCUGUCGUCAGCUCGUGUCGUGAGAUGUUGGGUUAAGUCCCGCAACGAGCGCAACCCUUGUCCUUAGUUGCUACGCAAGAGCACUCUAAGGAGACUGCCGGUGACAAACCGGAGGAAGGUGGGGAUGACGUCAAGUCCUCAUGGCCCUUAUGGGUAGGGCUUCACACGUCAUACAAUGGUCGGAACAGAGGGUUGCCAACCCGCGAGGGGGGGCUAAUCCCAGAAAACCGAUCGUAGUCCGGAUUGCACUCUGCAACUCGAGUGCAUGAAGCUGGAAUCGCUAGUAAUCGCGGAUCAGCAUGCCGCGGUGAAUACGUUCCCGGGUCUUGUACACACCGCCCGUCACACCAUGGGAGUGGGUUUUACCAGAAGUGGCUAGUCUAACCGCAAGGAGGACGGUCACCACGGUAGGAUUCAUGACUGGGGUGAAGUCGUAACAAGGUA